rnacentral:lncRNA from 1 species
UGGACGUGGUCAAGUACGAGAGUGGCCCUGACGGAGGGGAGGAAGUGAGUAUGAGCGUAGAGUGGAAUGGGGCCUAGCCGCCCGGUGCCUCCCCUCUGCUCCUGCAUGACGGGCAGCGCCUCCUCCGGCCCCUCCAGUGCUGUCCGCUGUCUAGCAGCCCUAGGAGCUUGUCAGCCGCACCUCUGGGACUGGCCCCUCCUUUCGGUGCUGCCGUCCUAUGGGGUCUUGAUUUCUGGAUACAUGUAGCUUUGCCAGAUAUGUACUUAGAAAUAUCAACCGUGUUAAUAAGCCCAUUAAUGUGUAACACACAAGUUUAACAGUUAAGAGAGAGUAGCUGUUCAUCUUGAGGACAGGCGUUAGUGUCACACAGGUUUAUUACAGUGGCAUGAUAGUGACCUGUGCAGUCACUGAGCUGUAGGAGUGAGGCAUGUGCUGCACGUCCCUGUCGUACUUAGAGACCUGGCAGUGCCCUGCUCCGGGCCUCCCCAGGACACACUGACGUAGAUUUGCUGUGUAGUCUUGGUGUGGAAAUUUGAAUUCUGCUUUUCACUACUAAUCUGAAGUGCUCCGUGAUGUGUGUAUGUGUCUUUCUAACUUCUAAUAAACUCACUCCAGCUGA